UCUCUAAAAAUAUUUCAGAAGCAUGCACUGAAUCUCAAUCGCCAUGGUUAGAUCUGCCACUACAUAUUCGCUGUUCUUCAUAAAUCGAGCUCAGUCGUGCAAGUCAGAUGCGAAACCUCCUGAUCUUGGUGCCAACAUACUCACAGAAGCCUCGAGAUCGAAGACGAUGGUGGUUAGGCAUGAAAGAAGACGGCUGGUUAGAGUGAGGAGUCACUUAAACCCCGCAGCCAUGGCGUCCCCAACCAGGAGACGGAAAAAGCCCAAUUUGUAGAAAAAUAUUGAACCGGCGAGCGACCCCUCAGCUACCGCCAAUGACGACGUAUCAAAAACCGAUGCGGCUCUCUCCGGUCGAAAGUCUCG
rnacentral:lncRNA from 1 species